GUCUUUUUGAAAAUAAUUUAAAGUCUAAUCUGCCCACUGAUAUUAUAUUGAAGGGCUGCAGUAUUUUGACUGUACAAAGGUAGCAUAAUCAUUAGUCUCUUAAUUGGUGACUUGUAUGAAGGAUUUGAUGAAAUAUAAACUGUCUCAUUUUAAUUUAUUGAAUUUAAUUUUUUAGUUAAAAAGCUAAAAUUUAAUUAAAAGACGAGAAGACCCUAUAGAGUUUAAUAAUUUAAUUAAUUAUUAUUUUAUAUAAUUUUUUUUUUAUUAAUUAAUUAAAUUAUUUUGUUGGGGUGAUAGAAAAAUUGAAUUAACUUUUUAUAUAAAUUAACAUUAAUUUAUGAAUAAAUGAUCCGUAAUUUACGAUUAUAAGAAAAAAUUACCUUAGGGAUAACAGCGUAAUUUUUUUUUUUAGUUCAAAUAAGAAAAAGAGUUUGCGACCUCGAUGUUGGAUUAAGAUAAAAUUUAAAUGCAAAAGUUUAAAAUUUUUGAUCUGUUCGAUCAUUAAAAUCUUACA
rnacentral:rRNA from 1 species